GAUGAACGCUGGCGGCGUGCCUAAUACAUGCAGGUCGAGCGAACAGACGAGGAGCUUGCUCCUCUGACGUUAGCGGCGGACGGGUGAGUAACACGUGGAUAACCUACCUAUAAGACUGGGAUAACUUCGGGAAACCGGAGCUAAUACCGGAUAAUAUAUUGAACCGCAUGGUUCAAUAGUGAAAGACGGUUUUGCUGUCACUUAUAGAUGGAUCCGCGCCGCAUUAGCUAGUUGGUAAGGUAACGGCUUACCAAGGCAACGAUGCGUAGCCGACCUGAGAGUGUGAUCGGCCACACUGGAACUGAGACACGGUCCAGACUCCUACGGGAGGCAGCAGUAGGGAAUCUUCCGCAAUGGGCGAAAGCCUGACGGAGCAACGCCGCGUGAGUGAUGAAGGUCUUCGGAUCGUAAAACUCUGUUAUUAGGGAAGAACAAAUGUGUAAGUAACUAUGCACGUCUUGACGGUACCUAAUCAGAAAGCCACGGCUAACUACGUG
rnacentral:rRNA from 1 species